rnacentral:rRNA from 1 species
AUUGAACGCUGGCGGCAUGCUUUACACAUGCAAGUCGAACGGCAGCACGGGGGCAACCCUGGUGGCGAGUGGCGAACGGGUGAGUAAUAUAUCGGAACGUACCCGGAAAUGGGGGAUAACGUAGCGAAAGUUACGCUAAUACCGCAUAUGCCCUAAGGGGGAAAGCGGGGGAUUCGCAAGAACCUCGCGUUUUCGGAGCGGCCGAUAUCGGAUUAGCUAGUAGGUGAGGUAAAGGCUCACCUAGGCGACGAUCCGUAGCUGGUCUGAGAGGACGACCAGCCACACUGGAACUGAGACACGGCCCAGACUCCUACGGGAGGCAGCAGUGGGGAAUUUUGGACAAUGGGCGAAAGCCUGAUCCAGCCAUGCCGCGUGAGUGAAGAAGGCCUCGGG